AGGCUCAGAAGGAGGAAGAGCAGCGUCAGGGCCCUGCCCCUCCUACCAUCUCCCUGGGGGCCAGAUGGAGGAUUGACAGCUCCCUGUGUUGUCUCCUUUUGAGUAACAAGAGAGGACCAGCAUGGCCCCAGAGAUUCUACUGUCGCUAAUGCUACUGCUGCUGCUGCUGUCACUAGGAAACUCAGGGAGGACUUGGGCUUAGCUCCAGUACCAGGAGAGGAGACCGAGGUCUCCAGGCUAUGGGGCACCAGAGCAGGCUGAAGAAGAGCACAGACUCCUGGAAGGGGAGACGUUCAGUGUGAACUGCUCCUACAAGUCCCAGGAAGAUAAACAUAGAUGGAUGUCUUGGUGUAAAAAGCAAGAGAAUGGAGAGUACUGUGUUGUACCACCCUUAGAAAAAAGCCCCAAGGUUUCCCUGUCAGACAAUGAAUACUUCUCCUCUUCAUGACAAUAGUAGCAUCAUCACUAUCACUAUCACAAAGUUGAGGCUCACAGUAAAGGAUUCAGGUGUCUGUGAGUGUGUGAUCCUUGAAGAAUCUCCUAAGACAGUCCCUGAAGAAUUUCCUAAGAGUGAAAAAGCCAUCCUCAGGAGAUUUCACCUGGUGGUGUCCUCAGUUGAAACACAGAGCCCCACGAAAGGGAUACAAACUACUACGGAGGUCAUUUCCAACAAUCCGGCCACCAACAACAGGUACCUCUACUUUCCAAAAUCUUCCUUUUCUGUCCCAGAAGUCAAUGCAUUGUACAUAACUUCUCCAAACCCUAGUAUGCACUGGCCUGUUCCAAGAUUCACUGACUUUUCCCAUAGGGAGCCCAGGGCUGCAGCAGGCUUAGCACAAAUUCACUUAAUGUUUUUCCUCUCAAAUUUAAGCUUAUCAUGGCUUAAGAUCUGA
rnacentral:lncRNA from 1 species